rnacentral:lncRNA from 1 species
CGGCACCUGCUCUAACCACUGCGAGAACAAAUGCAACUACGGCUUCUGUGACUAUGCGCAGUAAUUUGAGUCGUUCAACACUAUUGUGUGGCAUCCAAAGUCUCAGUUGAAUACCUGCACUAUAUAUUGUGCAUGCGCAUGCAGAAGCAAGGGAGAUAUUGAGCUACAGUUCCCAAGAUACUGAUUUACUAUAAUUAUUGACAGCCCUUAUAACAGGACAAGAAAUUAUGAUAAUUGGUACUGCUAAUGUUGUAGGAGUGCUAUCCCAUUAACUGAAAAUAUUCUCAUAUCAGUUUAUCCACCCGUGAAUAAGAACGAAACCGGUGAAAUCCAAACAUUGAGAUUGUGAUUAAUUAGUGUGCUUUAUUAGCCAUCCUGCAAGAUCGUGAGU